CUGCUAUCGGAUUGAUACUAAGCCAUGCGAGUCUUUGUAGUAAUACAAGGCAUACGGCUCAGUAACACGUAGUCAACCUACCCUAUGGACAAGAAUAAUCUCGGGAAACUGGGCAUAAUUCUUGAUAGAUCAUAAUGCCUGGAAUGGUUUAUGGUUAAAAUGAUUCGUCGCCAUAGGAUGGGACUGCGGCCUAUCAGCUUGUUGGUGAGGUAAUGGCCCACCAAGGCGAUUACAGGUACGGGCUCUGAGAGGAGAAGCCCGGAGAUGGGUACUGAGACACGGACCCAGGCCCUAUGGGGCGCAGCAGGCGAGAAAACUUUGCAAUGUGCGAAAGCACGACAAGGUUAAUCCGAGUGAUUUCUGCUAAAGAAAUCUUUUGCCAGUCAUAAAACCACUGGUGAAUAAGGGGUGGGCAAGUUCUGGUGUCAGCCGCCGCGGUAAAACCAGCACCUCAAGUGGUCAGGAUGAUUAUUGGGCCUAAAGCAUCCGUAGCCGGCUUUGUUAGUUUUCGGUUAAAUCCAUGUGCUCAACGCAUGGGCUGCCGAAAAUACUGCAUAGCUAGGGAGUGGGAGAGGUAGACGGUACUCAGUAGGAAGGGGUAAAAUCCUUUGAUCUAUUGAUGACCACCUGUGGCGAAGGCGGUCUACCAGAACACGUUCGACGGUGAGGGAUGAAAGCUGGGGGAGCAAACCGGAUUAGAUACCCGGGUAGUCCCAGCUGUAAACGAUGCAGACUCGAUGAUGCAUUGGCAUAAUAGCCAGUGCAGUGUCGCAGGGAAGCCGUUAAGUCUGCCGCCUGGGAAGUACGUACGCAAGUAUGAAACUUAAAGGAAUUGGCGGGGGAGCACCACAAGGGGUGAAGCCUGCGGUUCAAU
rnacentral:rRNA from 1 species